AUGCUACUCUUUCUAUCCACCGGCUGGUGGAGAAUGCUGACGAAUGUAUGGUGCUUGAUAACGAGGCCUUAUAUGACAUCUGCUUCAGGACUCUCAAGCUAACUACACCUAGCUGUGAGUUUACCAUACUAUGUUACCUUAUCUUAAGCUUAACUUCAAGUUUAUUUUUCCUUAUGCUUUUUGAUUUCUUAUAUGGGUUUAGUGCCCCUCUUAUUUUAUUCUCGUUGAUAGUAAUGAUCUCAUUUUAGGCACUGUUAAUCUGAUUUCAAUCCGAUUUUAGGCUCUGUUUGGUCGAUGCCAAAAAAUGCAUCGAUCUCAUUUUAGUUUACAGUAGUUAUUUAUUAGAGAUCUUGAUCUUUGAUACUGAGUUUGUAUUAAUGGUGAUUUUGUCCUUUAGAGAUCAAGAUGCCAAAUACAGGAUUACUGUUAACUAAAAUGAGAUGCGCUUUUUUUUAGGCGUAUACUAAGCAGGGCCUUAGCUAAAAUGAUGCAUAAGGAGUUCAUAUUAGCUGUGAUUAUGUAUUAGAGGUCCAGAUCUCCAAUACAUAAUUACUGUUAACCGAAAUGUGAUGAUCUCAAUUUUAGGUGUCUACCAAACUGGGCCUUUGUUUGCUUAUGAAGAUGACCAAACAGGGCCUUAGUUUGUAUUUUUACGCUGUGGCCGUCUUUGCUGCCAUUUCUUUCUGAAAAAUGAUGAUGCUAAAUUGUCUUUUUCAUCGAGUGACAGAGAUGAUUGUCCUUUUCCCUCACUUUUUCCUUUUUCACAUAAUAGAAAUCACCUAGAAAAAUGUGAUGUCUACUCAAAAGACUCACUCUACCUGAUGUGCUAGUGUGGUGUAUCUGUGUAAGAUCCAAGCUAUUCAUCAGGCAAAGUUAAAGGAGACUCGGUAUCACAGUAUAGAGGUAUGAAGGAUGCGUUUGAUGUUUCUCUGGUAGGGGUACUGAGAAGAUUCCAGGAGCAAAGAAGGACAUAAAUGGAAUUAAAAAAUUGGGAAUGGGAGAUCUUGUAUGUUGUAUUUUGUACUUAUCUUAGGUGGGGUAUAUUGAUGGAGGGACAGGAUGUUGAAGUAGAUCGGUGGACGGGUGGAUGGAUGUGGUUGGUGGAUUCAAUCCAUUCCAUGGAUGUGAGAACUUACUCAUCUAUGGCCAUUGAUGGAACGUGUAUUCAAUCCAUUGCUGAACUUUUAUCUCUCUGGUACAUUUCUUUUCAUACUAUUGCUUUGAAAGACUGGUUAGAAUUCCAUCUUACGUUACUAUGGAGCAAAUUCCACUCUUGGACUCAGGCGGGCUGCCUACAAUCAUGGCUACCACCUUAGAUUGCACAUGAUCCUUAAUUCCACUCAGGUAAGACCAUUGUAAAUUACUACUGUCCAUUUUGCAUGUCCUUGAGCUUAUUGUUUUGAUCGUCCGAUCAUGCUCAUUUUGGGCCCAUUUACAUUCCACCAUGGACCCUCGUAUUUUAUCAUAGUUAGUGAUCAAAGGUGGAUUCACUUGGGUUCCAUGGGAAAUUUGCAUAUGAAUCGAGGUAAGAAGAAUUCUGACUGAUUAGUCUGCUUUGAAAAUUUGAAUAUGUAACAAAAUCCUAUUCAGUUUUACAUAUGAUUUUGUAUUCUUAUCAAAGUUCAGAAGC